rnacentral:rRNA from 1 species
AUUGAACGCUGGCGGCAGGCCUAACACAUGCAAGUCGAGCGAGCGGCGGACGGGUGAGUAAUGUAUGGGGACUGCCCGUUAGAGGGGGAUAACGACUGGAAACGGUGGCUAAUAACGCAUACUGUAGGAUAACCCUUUGUGGAUUAGCUAGUAGGUAGGGGAAUGGCUUACCUUGGCGACGAUCCCUAGCUGGUCUGAGAGGAUGAUCAGCCACACUGGGACGUGGACACGGCCCAGACUCCUCCGGAGGCAGCAGUUGGGAAUUUUGGACAAUGGGGGAAAGCCUGAUGCAGCCAUGCCGCGUGUAUGAAGAAGGCCCUAGGGUUGUAAAGUACUUUCGGUCGGGAGGCGUUACCGACAGAAGAAGCACCGGCUAACUCCGUGCCAGCAGCCGCGGUAAUAC